CACCGCCGUGGAUGUGGCCGCCGGAAACUGUCGCGAGAACCUCUAUCUUCUGGGGUUGAGUUCCGAUGAUUUCAUGUCAAAAUUAAGGUUGCCAUUGAACCACCGUAACUUCUGGCCGUGCCUCUGUCGCCGGACAACACCGCUGCCGCCUGGAACCUCCAUUGAAGUCUGUAUCUGUGUGGAUGUAUGAUCACAUGGUCACUGCAAGUUUUUCUGUCCUGGGCCACCAUUAGAGCCGCCCAACCGGUGUUGAAAUCGCUGCUGCUAUGUGUUCUUUUAUAAUCAAAAGCCGAGCUUACACGUAGCAUUUGAAGCUAUUUCUGCUUUUGGGAAAGCAAGCGGAGAAGAGGCUUCAGUUGCUGCUGAAUUUGGGCUGAGAGAAACGAGUUCAGUUGACGCGUUUGGAUUAUGGUUUCGCGUAUCGAGCUUUACCUUUUCAGGAACCGGAUGAAGAAGCAUUAAGAAGAGUUAUACUGUGUUUGGUUUAUAUACUGAUGUAUUAAUUAGAUUAUUUUCUUCCCUCGUCCUUAUUAUUACAAGUUUGUAAGAGGGAUAGGAAUUGUAUGUUUUAUAUGUAUAAUAUAUUGAAUUAUUAUGUAAGGAGUCUUGUAUAUGAAUCUAUGCCUAUUUGUAUUUUUUCUUAAGUUAAAGUGUUUAUUUCCGGUUUUCAAGGAAAUCAGCGACACAGUGUCGAGUCACAGGCUCCUAUUUUAGUAUUUAGUAUGUGAAGUAGUCGUAAUACUCCUUGCUAUCAGAGUAGCGCAGCCGGAAGCGUGACUUCUGAUAGUGAGGGUGUCACAUUAUGGUAUCAGAGCUGUCUUUCCUGUAGAGCCUUGGGAAUGGACUGAUUAUGCUUCAAUUGCAUACUCUGAGAGUCUAUCAUGUAGUAGGUCUUGUUUGAAUAACGAGAACUAGAAUUUUAAGCACAUGACUGCCUAUUAAUUAACGUUGUUAGCUUACCGUUGCAUAUCUGUUGAUGUUAAGUCUGGCCAACUUAAUGUUGAUGACUUAUGUGAACGGGAAAGUUAAUAGGUUAUUAUAGGCGAAAAGGAAUUGAUAAGUAAUGGUUAAUGCGAGUCACGUGGUUCGCGGAUGCUAGGGUUCGCUUUUCGUGCUUGGUUUAUGAUUCUUGUUUACGUCGCUUAGGUUGGCAUAUCGUUUCUUUUUUUUGUUUACUAUCCUCAUUGAAGUUCUU